UACAGAGGGGGCGAGCGUUGUUCGGAAUUACUGGGCGUAAAGGGCGCGUAGGCGGCCCGCUAAGUCGAACGUGAAAUCCCCAGGCUCAACCUGGGAACUGCGUCCGAUACUGGCAGGCUUGAAUCCGGGAGAGGGAUGUGGAAUUCCAGGUGUAGCGGUGAAAUGCGUAGAUAUCUGGAGGAACACCGGUGGCGAAGGCGGCAUCCUGGACCGGCAUUGACGCUGAACAGCGAAAGCCAGGGGAGCAAACGGG
rnacentral:rRNA from 1 species